CGACUCCGAAGGUAAUCGUCUGGACACAAGCAAAGCGCCCUGGGGCUGCGCUCCGACCUCAAAACCCCUCCCGAAAGAAGCCCCCGCCUUUUUUCCCAGCUCGCCCACCUCCCUGCCGGCCCCUCUCGGGCCGCGCCACUCCGGCAACUUCUGCAGCCAGCCCGCCCGCCGCCCGCGACCCCCUCCCGGCCCAGCGAGCCCUCCGCGCCCUCCCCCCCGCGGCGGCGGCCCCCGCGCCGCCCGCGCCUCCGCGCCGCCCGCGCGGGUCCUCGCCCCCUUCCCCCGAGGCCCCCGCCCGCGGCACCGCCCCCGCCGCACCCCACCCAGCCCGGGACCCCAGCCCACCCGGCCCCACCCGGGAAGGAGGGAGCCGCGGCCGCGCCGGGGCCCGCGAGCGCCAACACGGAGAGGGCUUUACCUCAGAGGCGCGGCCGCGAGCAGCGGGGUCGGUCCCGGGCGCGGGCGGCGCCCCCCGGUCCGUCAGUCAGCGGCGGCGGGGGCAGCGGCGGCGACGGCACAUCACACCCGCCGGGGCCGGAGGAGGAAAGCGAGCCGCGCAGGGAGGGAGCGAGCGAGAGAGCGAGGUAGGGGGGAAGGAACGAGCGAGGGAGGGAACGCCGCUCGGCUCGGACUCGGUCCCUGCACUACUGCCGGUGCCUCCUACCGCCGCCUCUGGCCGGAGAGUCGCCGCCCGAGUCGCUGCUGUCGCCACCGAUGCAGCCGGGAAUGAAUGCACAGCGGCGCCUCACUUAUCCGGAGGUCAAACAUCCUUCUGCCUCGGGCAUCCGGAUCGGCGCCGGACCCGGAAGUGAACACAUGGAAAAAAAAUAAAAAAGGAAAGCGUCUCUCUAGCGGCGGCUGCCCCGGAGCUGCCCGCAUCGACGAAAAGAGCCGAGUAGAGCCGAACAUUACACUGACGUGCUCGGAUUGGUCGGCUUGCUGACCGGAAGAAAGGCAGCACGCUGAUUGGCUGGCAAGAUUCUCGAGGCUUCCUGCAUUCCCUGUUUUAUAGUCUCGUCCGUCUUCAAAGCCAGCAUCACAUCACACUGAAUUCUGCUUCCGUCAUCACGUCUCCUCUGACUCACUCUCCUCACUUCCUCUUUCACUUAUAAGAAC
rnacentral:lncRNA from 1 species